rnacentral:rRNA from 8 species
AUGCUUGACCUCAAAUCAGGUAGGACUACCCGCUGAACUUAAGCAUAUCAAUAAGCGGAGGAAAAGAAACUAACAAGGAUUCCCCUAGUAACUGCGAGUGAAGCGGGAAAAGCUCAAAUUUAAAAUCUGGCGGUCUCUGGCCGUCCGAGUUGUAAUCUAGAGAAGUAAUGCCCGUGCUGGACCGUGUAUAAGUCUCCUGGGAUGGGGCGUCAUAGAGGGUGAGAAUCCCGUCUUUGACACGGACUACCAGUGCAUUGUGGUAUGCUCUCAAAGAGUCGAGUUGUUUGGGAAUGCAGCUCAAAAUGGGUGGUAAAUUCCAUCUAAAGCUAAAUAUUGGCGAGAGACCGAUAGCGAACAAGUACCGUGAGGGAAAGAUGAAAAGAACUUUGGAAAGAGAGUUAAACAGUACGUGAAAUUGCUGAAAGGGAAACGCUUGAAGUCAGUCGCGUUGGCCGGGGAUCAGCCUUGCUUUUGCAUGGUGUACUUUCUGGUUGACGGGUCAGCAUCAAUUUUGACCGCUGGAAAAAGACCUGGGGAAUGUGGCAGCUUCGGCUGUGUUAUAGCCCCUAGUCGCAUACAGUGGUUGGGAUUGAGGAACUCAGCACGCCGCAAGGCCGGGUUUCGACCACGUUCGUGCUUAGGAUGCUGGCAUAAUGGC